rnacentral:rRNA from 1 species
UACGUAGGGGGCAAGCGUUGUCCGGAUUUACUGGGCGUAAAGCGCGUGUAGGCGGCUCUUUAAGUCAGAUGUGAAAUCCUGCGGCUCAACCGCAGAACUGCAUUUGAAACUGGGGGGCUUGAAUUUGGGAGAGGAAAGUGGAAUUCCUGGUGUAGCGGUGAAAUGCGUAGAUAUCAGGAGGAACACCCGUGGCGAAGGCGGCUUUCUGGCCCAAUAUUGACGCUGAGACGCGAAAGCUAGGGGAGCGAACGGG